rnacentral:tRNA from 1 species
GGGCAUUUGGUUUAGUGGUAUGAUUCUUAUUUUGGGUGCGAGAGGUCGUGAGUUCAAUUCUUGAAAUGCCCC